AGGUGGUGGAUGCCCUGUCCUUCGAUACAUUCAAGGUCAGGCUGCAUGGGGCUCUGAGCAACCUGAUCUAGCUGUAGGUGUCCCUGUUCAUUGCAGGGGGGUUGGAAGGGACCUUUAAAGGUCAUCCAAUCCAACUCAGAGAUUACUCUAUAAUUUAAAAGUAAUCAGAACAGGGAGGAUAGGAAAGCAGUGCAGCCGCAUAGACUAUUUUCAUGGAAAACCAGUCAAAAGUUUGUGUAGCCACCAGAAGAUGAGGCCAUCAUAAAACAUCCAGAGUUAAGAUGCUAGUUCAUAGGAAUUUAUCUAAACUAGAAUUUGCAUCGGUUCUGAAUUCGUCCUGUAGUAAGUGCAGAUGAAAGAAAUGAGACUGCGCUGUGUAUUAAGGAAAUGGAAUGAGAAUUGAAAUAGUUUAAAAGAUCUUACAGGAUAAAGAGAGAAGUAAUGUGAUUGAACGAGUCCAGACAAACACAAACUAGCAGAAGUACCAAAAGAGAUAUUACAUUAAUGUAGAAAUUAUAUUUAGGAUUGUCCUUUUAAACAGCUUGCAAUGACCAACGUUACUUAAAUAUGUCUCUUCUGAAGGGGCAAUUGUGCUGGUAGUCAAACAAGCAGAAUUAAAGAAAGGAGAUUGUUAAAUGCUGCAGAAGUGACUCCGGGUUUCUGCUGGAAGCUUGAGGAUUUUGCCCCUUCUGUUACAACAGUCAGUUGCAAAUGUUAAAAUAUCUACUUCAGCUAAGUACUCACUGAUUUACUGAGAAGCUGGGUUCAGGCCAAGUCUAUUUCAUUUAUGCCUACAUAAAUGCUAAUAGGAAGCAUAAAUGUAUAGGUAUUCUGUAUACGCUGUAAACAACAUAUGGGGGGAAACAGCUUGCGUUAUUUUUGCACUUUCAUUUUUUUCACCUAUUAAUAGUGAAACUUGCAUUGAAGGUAGUUCUGUUUUUUGAAUUUUGUUUUGCAAUAUACAUUGGUUUGUUACCUAACUAUCAGAUAAUUAAUUUUAGCUGAAGUGGAAAAAUGCCUUUACGGUAUACAAACAGAAUGAUUCUGGGCAGUGCAGCUUGUCCAGUGUGUUAACCGUACUUGGAUUUCAAAUACCUUUGUUCUUUCACUUAUUAUUUCUUUUCAAAUCACUGGUGUUUCUGGAAUGCAGUGAAAGGAGAAUUCCAGAGAUAUUUUGAAAAAAAUGCGAAUUUGAUCCUUUCAAAAACAGAGAAUGGUUCAAGGUCAUCUUGAAAAUAAACUAGCUUGGCAGUAUUUGUAUAUAACAGAGAAUGGUUCAAGGUCAUCUUGAAAAUAAACUAGCUUGGCAGUAUUUGUAUAUAAUAUCUAAACAUGGUUAUUUGUGUUCACCUAGCUAGUGACCUAGAGGCCGUCUGAAAUGUAUCAGUGUAAGUUACGCUAAACUGCAUGGUAACAAAAAUGUUGAUAAAGAAGUUUUCCUGUCUCAUUACAUUAUGUGUAGUCUUUAGAGGGGCAGAGGAGAGGUUAAACAUCUCUUAUGAAAAGGGCCAACUUCAGGAGUUUGAAAUCAGCCUUCACACACUGUAAUAAAGUAACUGUAAAAAGAUUAGGGGGGGAAAUGGACUACUGUUGCAGGUUGCUAUCAAUAGAAUAUUUCUAGUACUACUGUUCAGAUAGAAUUUCAUCUAGAAUUAGAAAUUGAGUACAGUUACAGAAAAGAUCAGUAGCUAAAACAGCUGGAGGAAUAGAAAGUUUUCCAAAAAAUCACUUGUUAGUAUAGGUGGUAGAAUAUGGCAUCAUUUUCAAUCAGGUAAAGCAAAGAUGAUACAGAAUUGUUUACUUAAACGGUAUGAACUUGCUAGAACAUUCUGCAGUGGCUUCCAUGACCACAAUGGUCAGAACGCAAGAGAGUAAGGGGGUUAUGUGAUCUUGGUGCACUCUUCCACAUGGCAGGUUUUGUCUCUUUCCUGUUCCUUCUCCAGUCUGUGAAUGUUUAUUUUACUGGAAGAGGUGAGUUGAGAGAAAUUGGGAAUGGACAGCACUUCCAUUUUUGGCGCUGCUAUAUUGUCUUCAUUUUGGAGAGAGUGGGCAUGGGGAACUGAUGGCAGCUGUGAAGAACAAACCAAAUAUUUCGAGGAAAAAUCUUUAAAUAUUUCCAAGCUCCUUCCAUCACCUCCUGAGGCAGAAAAUUCAUGAGUUGUCCACUGAACUUGCAGUAUACUUCAGUAAUUAGAAUACUUUUUCUGGAUUUUUAUAACUUCUGAAAAUAGUGUCAUGAUAUUUAGUAGCAGUAGUGAUAACAACAUCUGUGCAACAUUUGAAAGACAGUGGUUAUAGUUGGUAUUUAUGUAAGAAAAUAAUGACAUUUGAAAAGAAGCAUGAGGGUACUUCAGUGUCUUUACACAUAGUGGUCUGUAGCCAGAAACGCUAUUUUGAAGUAGUUAUUUAUUAAUAAUAAUUUAUUAGUUAUAAGUAUUUUUCUGGCAUAAAACUGUGCAGAAGGUUGAGAGCAUUAUAGAUUAAAAGUUGCAGGAGACAGCUGAGACUACACAUUACCACCAUUACAUUAAGUGGUAUUUUAUGCUAUAUUAGUUUAAAUGAGAGUGUUUGGGGAUGCUUAUAUCCAUGUGUUUUGGCAUGUGAAGGGAGAUGCACUAUGCCCACAGGUGGCCGCUAUUCUCCUUUAUUUACCUUUGUAAUUUGCCUCAACUGGGACUUGGUGUAUUCUUUGGUGUCAUGGAUUUUCUGCCUUUGUUCAGGGACUCUGACCCCUUUGCUGUUAAUGGGUGUAAGUUACAAAUCACACCUUUCUGGUUACUACACUCUCAUGAAGGGUAUUUAUAAAGCAAGGUUAUGGGAGUAUUAAGUUCUACAGUAUUGUUUCCACUCAACCUCAUGUGACAAGAAAGAUGUUGUCUGGUUUAUAGGUGUCAAAAAUUGUGAUUCAGUAUCCAAAUACCAUGUGUAGGUCAUAUUAAUGGCUUCUGGUGCAGAACCGUACUGAUUAUUGACAGCAGAAGUCUGUGUGUGAUGAACAUCUAAUUGGGAUUAUGUUUAUGUUCAAAACAUAUGAUCCAGCCUCCUGUUAUGAAAAACAGGAUUUUGAUCCCAAGUUUUUAUAUUCCAAUGGAUUUCAAGUUGAGUUUACAUGUUUAUUUUAGAGAGACAUCUACACUUCUCCAUCAUUUAAAAUGUCUAUCAAAUCAACUGCAUGUCCCAAGAGCUAACAAUGAUUACUGUUAGAGGAGGAAAAAAAAAGGAAAAGAAAAAUGGCAUCUUUAAUAGCAUUUUCGACUUGGUCUUCAAUUGCUGAAUUUGUGCAUUAGUCUGUUAGAUUGAGUUGAGGCUGUAGUGGGACUAGCUACAAAAUAUUUGAUCUGAAUACUGAUAUGACAAUCUGCCUCGCAGCAUGCCAAUUCUUUGAUUGAAUUUUACAAGCACAUUUUGUGUCCCACAAAAAAAAAAAAA